rnacentral:rRNA from 1 species
GUGAUUUUGGAGGGCAAGUCUGGUGCCAGCAGCCGCGGUAAUUCCAGCUCCAAUAGCGUAUAUUAAAGUUGUUGCAGUUAAAAAGCUCGUAGUUGAAUUUCGGGGUUAGUAGGUUGGUCAUGCCUCUGGUAUGUACUGGUCUCACUGAUUCCUCCUUCCUUAUGAACCGUAAUGCCAUUAAUUUGGUGUUGCGGGGAAUUUGGACUGUUACUUUGAAAAAAUUAGAGUGUUUAAAGCAAGCUAACGCUUGAAUACAUUAGCAUGGAAUAAUGAAAUAGGACGUUCGAUCUUAUUUUGUUGGUUUCUAGGAUUGACGUAAUGAUUAAUAGGGAUAGUUGGGGGCAUUAGUAUUCAAUUGUCAGAGGUGAAAUUCUUGGAUUUAUUGAAGACUAACUACUGCGAAAGCAUUUGCCAAGGAUGUUUUCAUUAAUCAAGAACGAAAGUUAGGGGAUCGAAGACGAUCAGAUACCGUCGUAGUCUUAACCAUAAACUAUGCCGACUAGGGAUCGGAUGAUGUUAAUUUUUUAAUGACUCAUUCGGCGCCUUACGGGAAACAAUCGAAUUCCCG